AUAAUGAAAAAAUAUACUAAAAACUAAUCUAAAAACAUUUUAUAUGACAACAUUUGUUUUUUACCCGUAUAUGUUAAUUAAAAAAAAAAAUACUCAUAGUUUGUACUAGUAUAUAAAAAGUGCAAAAUUCAAAGGCUUACAAUUAUGACAAAACAAAAGGGGUAGAUUAGAGUAAUGCCUUAUACAAGUACAAGUAUAAAAAAAAUGUGGGUUUACCGUUUAAAAAAAAAUGGGGUUGGAUUUACGUGGGCUGUUGAUGUGGGCUUCAAUUGUUACUGUAUAAAGUUAAUAGUAGACCUAAUCCAAGUCGGUAUUGGUUUAUUCCUAUCUUUACCUAAUUACCUCUAUAAACAGAAAUUGCAAUUGAAUCUUCAGUUUUGUAUACAUGCUUAAUUCUAAUUUUGAUUCGUUUUAGCAGGCUCAAAUUGACAAAUAUACUUAUAUACAAGGAUAUAUAAUAACAAUUCGAUUUAUAAAGAUGGGUGAUUGGUCCUUGUUGCCCUCUGAUAUUCUUGUUGGAAUUGCUUUGAAAUUGGAUUCCAUUGAGGAAGUUAUGUCAUUCAUGGAAUCAUGUUUGCUCCUCCAUGGUUAAACCCGUGUGGAGUCGUGCGGAUAAACCAACUCCGCCUUGGUUACUGCUAGCAGGGCCUAAGCCGGAGCCGGGUAACGAUGACAAGUCUAAUUGUUAAGUUAUAUGCUCAGACGACUACUUCCCUGAUCAAGGAUACGGAUCGUCAGACGAUGAAGACGACGAUGAUCCUGUGAUGAUAGAGAAAUAUCCCUGGGCUAUGAAAAUUUUGGUGCGAAGAUUCAUUGUAUUAAAGAUUCCUGGAAGCAACAACAUUGAUGAGUUAGUUGUGUUUGUAAUACAUUUCCCAUUUGAUUGUAUAGUUUGUGCUCGUCCCGGAGAUAAAGCAUGGACUGAAGUAGUUGAACCAUGGCCACGAAAUCUAACCCGCCCUUUUAUUCAUCAAGCCAUGGUUUGGGAUGGAAAAGUAAUCAUCUUGUAUGGUCCUAUUAAUAAAAAACUUGUAAUGCAGCGAUUGCAUAUUGUGAUGUA